rnacentral:rRNA from 1 species
UACAGAGGGGGCAAGCGUUGUUCGGAAUUACUGGGCGUAAAGGGCGCGUAGGCGGCCUUCUAAGUCGAACGUGAAAUCCCUGGGCUCAACCCAGGAACUGCGUCCGAUACUGGAAGGCUUGAAUCCGGGAGAGGGAUGCGGAAUUCCAGGUGUAGCGGUGAAAUGCGUAGAUAUCUGGAGGAACACCGGUGGCGAAGGCGGCAUCCUGGACUGGUAUUGACGCUGAGGCGCGAAAGCCAGGGGAGCAAACGGG